UAACGCGUGAGGAACCUGCCUCAGAAGGGGGGACAACAGUUGGAAACGACUGCUAAUACCGCAUAAGCCCACAGCUCGGCAUCGAGCAGAGGGAAAAGGAGUGAUCCGCUUUGAGAUGGCCUCGCGUCCGAUUAGCUAGUUGGUGAGGUAAUGGCCCACCAAGGCGACGAUCGGUAGCCGGACUGAGAGGUUGAACGGCCACAUUGGGACUGAGACACGGCCCAG
rnacentral:rRNA from 1 species